AGCAACUGGCCACACAAGAGGAUAAGCGACGGCAAAACAAUCUAAAACUACGAGGGGUCGCAGAUUCUGUACCCGAGGCCGAGCUCCCACAUUAUGCUAGGCGGCUACUGACUGCACUCUUAACCCCGAAAGUGGCCAAAUCCAUACUAUUGGACGACAUCUUCCGUAUACCACGGCCAACUACAGCACCACCAGCUGCCACAGGGGACAUAAUCCUGCGUUUUCAAAGCGCGAGGGACAAGAGGGCUAUUCUAGAAGCCACCAAAGGCCUAACAACCUACACUUUUGAGGACAUGACUCUAUCGUUUUAUGCAGAUCUCUCAAGUGGAACGCUGAACUGGAGAAGAUCCCUCAGACAGCUUACAUCCUUCUUGAGGCAGAAACAACUCAGGUACCGCUGGGGUCCAGGGCGCGCACUACACAUAGAAGGCGCAAGCGGCCCUCUAGAGGUGCGGAACAUACAAGAGGCCACAAGGACACUGGAAGACAUGCAGCUGCCACUGACGGCACCAGACACCGCUAAUCCACUGGCUGGAACCACAAGCAGCCCAGGGAGGGGCGCAAUCUUUGUGCCACGACGGCCCCCAACAGGACCACGUGCGGCUCCCACAACCUGAAACAGAACAAACACUACCGGGACGCUUUCCCUCUCUUUUCUUUUACCGGGCAACAACCUGGCCCACUGCCCAACAGAUGAGAACACCCAUCCACAGCGAGAGUAAUCGAGACUGUCUGCUCGCAUUUUUAUUUUUCUUAGUGUUUUUUUUUUUUUUUAUUGAUGCUGACUCAUACUAAAUGUUUACCACACCUGUAUAGACACCCGUAUUUACAACACGUACCUAAACAACCAGAUCAGGCAGAGGCCGUUUAAAAUAUAUGCUUAAAUGCCUGACCCACCACCUUAAGCAUGGCAUAACCUUCCAGACAACAUUACAUAACAUGUCACUAUCGUGUUUUCCCAUAAAAAACUUCCGAACGUUGUCAUACAGUAGCAUCCACAAUAACGCCCCAGCCUGCACUUAAUAAAAGCUCAGCCUGCACUUACUAACGCCCCAGCCUGCAUUUAUAAGGCUCUUAGCCCAACCACGCACGAACGGUGUCCUUUUGAUAUGGCUGGCAGGAGCUUUGAGAGAGGCCCCACUUACCCCCACUCAUUUAGAAUAUAUUAAUUUCCAAACAGUAUAACAUAAGCACAAUCCUUUUUACAUCGCCCAUACGCUCACAACCCAUAAUGUUACAAUAUAAACAUGAGCUACACCUUUCACAUGCUGACUAAUUGUUAAUAAAUAUUGGGUAUCAUGCUGGUCAACACUGUUGGGACAUGACGAGCCCACCUGAUCUUUAUUUCCAUGCACACCAUAAUAUGAUAUUGCGCAUAGCUAAUACAUGUUUCUGCCUAUUGAGCAACGCCUGUCCUGGCGUCACUUUGAUAUGCCUGUUUUGUUCUCUUUCGGUAAAUUUCUUUUGUUAAAUCUUUUUGGUAAAAUCGUGAAUUUCUCACUCAAACAAAAACAAAGUGCAACGCAUAACAAAUAUGUCAC